UCGGACGGGUCAGUAACGCGUGAGAAUCUAGCUUCAGGUCUGGGACAACCACUGGAAACGGUGGCUAAUACCGGAUGUGCCGGAAGGUGAAAGGCUUGCUGCCUGAAGAUGAGCUCGCGUCCGAUUAGCUAGUAGGUGGGGUAAGAGCCUACCUAGGCGACGAUCGGUAGCUGGUCUGAGAGGAUGACCAGCCACACUGGGACUGAGACACGGCCCAGACUCCUACGGGAGGCAGCAGUGGGGAAUUUUCCGCAAUGGGCGAAAGCCUGACGGAGCAAUACCGCGUGAGGGAGGAAGGCUCUUGGGUUGUAAACCUCUUUUCUCAGGGAAGAACACAAUGACGGUACCUGAGGAAUCAGCAUCGGCUAACUCCGUGCCAGCAGCCGCGGUAAUACGGAGGAUGCAAGCGUUAUCCGGAAUGAUUGGGCGUAAAGCGUCCGCAGGUGGCUGUGUAAGUCUGCUGUCAAAGAGCAAAGCUCAACUUUGUAAAGGCAGUGGAAACUACACGGCUAGAGUGCGUUCGGGGCAGAGGGAAUUCCUGGUGUAGCGGUGAAAUGCGUAGAGAUCAGGAAGAACACCGGUGGCGAAGGCGCUCUGCUAGGCCGCAAAAGAACACUGAAGGGAAGAAUAGGAUGAGGGGACA
rnacentral:rRNA from 1 species